rnacentral:tRNA from 1 species
GGGGUUGUAGCUCAGUGGUAGAGCCCUUGUCUAGCACUGUGUGAGGCACUGAGUUCAAUUCUCAGCAACACAU